AGUUUUUUUCUCAGCACAUGAUAUUAGAAAUCAAUUUUGAGCUUUUUUCUCACACCCUCUUCUCUUCCCUCUUCCAAUCGAUCACUUCUUCUCCAUCCCUCCCUCCCUCCCUCGUCCUUCUUCUCCCUCCCUCACCCUUCUUCUUCCUUUAUUCUCCAUCUAAGGCUGAUUCUCCUUCCAUUUCACUCAACCAACAGGUUGCAGAUCACAUCGCGCAUUGCAAUGGAUGGAAGGAUGGAUUCUGGAAGUUAAUCUUAGCCUUUGGAUUCUUAUACGCCUCAAGAAUCAUUUUGGUGAUGAUUCGGCAUCAUUGAGUGAAAGUGAGUAUGAGAGAGAGAGAUUCACCAAGAAAUGAUGAAAGCUACUUUGCACUCUAAGUGUUUGAUAAAAGGAUCACUAUACCUUACACGAGGCUUUCUUGCUGGCACAGGUAGAACAAAAACAACUAGGUGGAAUGGCUGACCUAGAAAGCUUUAUGUAGAUUUGGACGAUUUUGACGUGGAAAAAUGAGAAGGGGUUGUCAAGGCUGCAAGGCACAUGCUGAGUAGUUGGAAUCAGACCAAUUUUCUGCUGGAACUUCACCAUAUUCAGGUCACAAAUCUACAACAAUCACUUGAAGAAAGUGUGAUGUUGGGUCAUAAAAUGCAGCGUAGAUGCAGGCGCACCUCUAUUUUAUCAACAAAAUAUGUAUGGAAUUGGGAUAUGCAUCAACAAUGACAGUGGUGAAUUCAUCUAAGCAAAAACCAAACACAAGAAACAACUCCUUUCUCCAAAAGAGGCAGAAGCUAUGAGACUUUCACAAUAUAUUAUUCGGUUUCAGAUCACAUCUCGCACGAUGUUGCAAUGGAUGAGAGGAUUGAUUCUGGAAGUUAAUGUUUACUAGGUGCUUAGUUUGUGUUUUCUACCAUACCUUUUUGCGAUACACGAGGGAAAGAGUGCGGGAGGGGAUUGUGUGCAACGUGUGACGAAAAAUAGGAUACAUACAAAUGACAAUUGGAAAGUGACGUUGACUCCAAAUAUGCAUUUUCCAUUAUGGCACAAAGAAGCCGAGACAGUUACGCGACCGAUUUCAGUCAUGUUCACUAUUGUUUGUCCAUUAGUAUCUCCAGACAAGUUUUUUAUGCCUCUUCAUAUAAUAUGCAUAGUUUAGCUUUUUGCUACUUUGAUAUUUGUCUAUGUACUUGGUUUGGAUACGAAACACAAGAUGAUACUUGACUAUUAGAAAGAUGUAAACAACUAUAGAAGUAUUUUAUUUAUAUAGGCAGAAUAUGGAUUCUUUUUUGCAGUCAUUUUUUGUUGCGGCAUUCAUAUUGGUUUAAAUACAAGUUUUAUUUUUCUGUUACCAAGCAUUCCCGGUCUUGAAAUAUUGGUUUAAGGAGAAUUUUCUACAUGGUAAUGAAGUCUUCCUCUACAGACGAGGUUACAAAUUCUGAUGCAACUAAUUUUUUAAAUAAAGGAACACAUCUUUUUCUCUGUAAUUGCUUUAAUAUUGAUAUAUGAUGUGGUCUUUAAUAAUGGAGUCCAUGCUGCAGAAUUUCAUUAUGGCAAGGAGUACACAAGAAGUUGCCGAGGGAUUACUUAAAUUAAAGGCUUAAUAGGUCUGAUCGAUGGUGAUGACGAGUCUGAUCUGUUGCUUCGAACUAACCUUUUGAAACUACGCACUUGCCUCAUAGAAUUCAAUACAACCAAUGGGGAGUGAUCAAUGGCUUGAUGGGCUGGUUUUUGUUGCUGCAAGGAUGCUAGCUGUUGUUUGCAGCCUGCCUGCAGCAGGUGUUUUUGACCCCCUGCGUGUUUGGUUCUUUGGGACCCUGCUAUUAUGUGACUUUUCCUGGCUUUGUUUUUUGGAGUUUUUUCCUGGCAUUAGUGGAGUGCAGCAGCUGCUGGUGUGUCUGGCAUCAGCUGGUAUGGCGGGAAUGCCGCAGUUUUGCGGUUUUGGGAGUUUUUAGAUAGGUCUGUUAUGCCUUAGUAACCGUUGGUUUGCCUGAGUUUUGUUUAUGUUCCACUUCUCAGUUGGAGUUAGGAAUCUUAUGGGUUUUUUUUUUAUUGAGUUUUCCUUUUGGUGUUGAGGUGCCUACUGUUAUAUGGCGCCUUAUUGCACUCUUUUUCCUCCUUUGCGGGACAAUGUACAAAGAAGUGUUCCAGAAUGUUCGAUAGCCUAUUUUAUUAUUCCAUGUUUGUUGUUGUCACAGUUGUUUGCU